CACAGAUAUUGGUUUCACUGCAGGAUUAAAAAGGAGAAGCAAGGCUGGGAGAAAGGACUAAAACCAAUCCCAGCAACAAAAGCAAUACAGAAAAACACUGUCAUUCAGGUCUCAUCUGUCCUGGAAGACACCAUGAUGAGAUGCAAGUAUUAGUGAAAUGACAUCACAAGAGCCAAGAGAGUGAAAACUUAGAAGCAGAAAGGAAAGGAUUUUAAAAGGCCCAAAGUGUCCUAUCCAGUCCUCUUCAGGGAGAAAGACUGUGGAUGGAAGAUGAAGCCUUGAGAUGCUGAGUAUAACUGUUCAACAGCAAGCGCUGAGGCUCAACAAGUUACAAUUAGCAUUUUGAUCCUUAUUGCACUUCAGAUAUAAAAGAAGAAUUCCCAGAACUGCUUCAUCAAAAAAUCAAAGGG